rnacentral:rRNA from 1 species
CCUACGGGUGGCAGCAGUGGGGAAUCUUCCGCAAUGGACGAAAGUCUGACGGAGCAACGCCGCGUGAGUGAUGACGGCCUUCGGGGUGUAAAGCUCUGUUAAUCGGGACGAAAGGCCUUCUUGCGAAUAGUGAGAAGGAUUGACGGUACCGGAAUAGAAAGCCACGGCUAACUACGUGCCAGCAGCCGCGGUAAUACGUAGGUGGCAAGCGUUGUCCGGAAUUAUUGGGCGUAAAGCGCGCGCAGGCGGAUAGGUCAGUCUGUCUUAAAAGUUCGGGGCUUAACCCCGUGAUGGGAUGGAAACUGCCAAUCUAGAGUAUCGGAGAGGAAAGUGGAAUUCCUAGUGUAGCGGUGAAAUGCGUAGAUAUUAGGAAGAACACCAGUGGCGAAGGCGACUUUCUGGACGAAAACUGACGCUGAGGCGCGAAAGCCAGGGGAGCGAACGGGAUUAGAUACCCGUGUAGUC